AUCCGGCUGGCGGGUCCCAAAUAGGACGAAACGCGCAUCCUGGAU
rfam:Schistosoma curassoni strain Dakar, Senegal genome assembly, scaffold: SCTD_scaffold0004849